GAGUGCUAUGCCCGGAGCCGUGCACCGUGCCUGGAGCCGUGCACCAUGGCCAGAGCUGCGCGCCGCACCCAGAGCUGUGCACCAUGCCCGGAGCUGUGCGCUGUGCCCAGAGCUGUGUGUUGUGCCCAGAGCUGUGCGCCGCACCCAGAGCUGUGCACCGUACCUGGAGCCGUGCACUGUGCCCAGAGCUGUGUGUUGUGCCCAGAGCUGUGCACCGUACCCAGAGCCGUGCACUGUGCCCAGAGCCAUGCGCCGCACUCAGAGCUGUGCGCUGUGCCCAGAGCUGCAUGUUGUGCCCAGAGCUGUGCACCGUACCCGGAGCCGUGCACCAUACCCGGAGCUGUGCACUGUGCCCAGAGCCGUGCACUGUACCCAGAGCCAUGUGCUGUGCCCAGAGCUGUGCACCGCGCCCAGAGCUGUGCACUAUGCCCAGAGCUGCAUGUUGUGCCCAGAGCUGUGCACUGUGCCCAUGUUGUGCCCAGAGCUGUGCACCAUACCCGGAGCCGUGCACUGUGCCCAGAACUGUGUGUUGUGCCCAGAGCUGUGCACUGUACCUGGAGCUGUGCACCAUACGCGGAGCCGUGUGCCAUGCCCAGAGCUUUGCACCAUACCUGGAGCCAUGCACUGUGCCCAGAGCUGUGCACUGUACCCGGAGCCGUGCACUGUGCGCGGAGCCCUGUGCUGUGCCUGGAGCCACGUGCUGUGCUUGCAGCAGUGCACCAUGCCUAGAGCUGUGCACCGUGCCUGGAGCUGUGUGUCAUGCCUGGAGCAACGUGCUGCGCCCAAAGCUGUGCACCAUGCCUAGAGAAGUGCACCAUGCCUUGAGCAGUGCACCGUGCCUGGAGCCUCACGCUGUGCCUGGAGCCCAGUGCUGUGCUUGGAGCCAUGCACCAUGCCUGGAGCUGUGCACCAUGCCUGCCGGCUGCCCUCGCGCAGCUGCCAGCAGUGCCGAGCUCCUCAUUUAUCUGUUGCGACAGGACCCAGGGCAAAAUAACAUCAGGAGACCAGAGAUAUCUCAGAAGUUUCCUUCCCGUUUACAGUCAUUAUCCUGAUACAAAAGAUGGGAUAAUUAGGGGGCUACCUCAGGUUGCAGGUCCUUGCUGCCCGGCUGUAUUAAAGCGAUGCCGUCGGCGACCCGGAGCCCUGUGGCAGCGGGGUGGCUGCAGGCUCGGGGAGGGCCAGGCUCCGCCGCCGAGGAUGCCACCCUGCGUGGCCCUGGCCCGGGCUGGCGAUGGGGAGGAGGGCAGCCUGCGAAGGCUGCCCGGAGGCCUGGNNNNNNNNNNNNNNNNNNNNNNNNNNNNNNNNNNNNNNNNN
rnacentral:lncRNA from 1 species